rnacentral:piRNA from 1 species
UCGAGUUCCAGGACAGCCAGGUUACAUAGU